AUGCAAGUGGCCGUCGCCCACGCGCCGCCGACGUUGGGCGAGCCGUCGUGAAGCACGACGUCGAAGGCGGUGACCCCCUUGGAGUCCAUGAGCCUUCGCACGGCGGAGCGGCACUUGGUGGUGGUGAUGUCUUCCGUGAGGGAGUGCGCGCCGCGGACGGGGCGGAUGGGCAUGAGGUCGACGCCGCCGACGAAGGCGCCGGCGGGGGCACGGGCGACGACCACCUGCAUCCAGCCCCCAGCGCCGCGCAGAGGUCGAGCACGGCGCACGCCGCGGACGGGGCGGAUGGGCACGAGGUCGACGUCGACGACGAAGGCGCCGGCGGGGGCACGGGUGACGGCCACCUGCAUCCAGCCCCCCAGCGCCGCGCAGAGGUCGAGCACGGCGCGCACCGCGGACGGGGCGGAUGAGCACGAGGUUGACGCCGACGACGAAGGCGCCGACGGGGGCACGGGCGACGGCCACCUGCAUCCAGCCCCCCGGCGCCGCGCAGAGGUCGAGCACAGCGCGCGCCGGCGGGAGGAACCGGAAGCGGUCGUCGAGCUGCUGCAGCUUGAAGGCCGCGCGGCUCCGGUAGCCCUGCUCCUUGGCGAGGUGGUAGUACUCGUCCUGCCGCUGCUUCCCCUUCGCCUUGCCCAUGGAGCCCUCGACUUGCAUCGGCAGAGAUGGCUCGCCGCGCACAAGCUGCUCGACAGAAUGCUCCAUAGAAAUAGAGAUGGGAUGAAGAUGACCAUGUAG
rnacentral:rRNA from 1 species